rnacentral:rRNA from 1 species
GAUGAACGCUGGCGGCGUGCCUAAUACAUGCAAGUCGAGCGAACGGACGAGAAGCUUGCUUCUCUGAUGUUAGCGGCGGACGGGUGAGUAACACGUGGAUAACCUACCUAUAAGACUGGGAUAACUUCGGGAAACCGGAGCUAAUACCGGAUAAUAUUUUGAACCGCAUGGUUCAAAAGUAAAAGACGGUUUUGCUGUCACUUAUAGAUGGUUCCGCGUUGGAUUAGCUAGUUGGUAAGGUAACGGCUUACCAAGGCAACGAUGCAUAGCCGACCUGAGAGGGUGAUCGGCCACACUGGAACUGAGACACGGUCCAGACUCCUACGGGAGGCAGCAGUAGGGAAUCUUCGGCAAUGGGCGAAAGCCUGACGGAGCAACGCCGCGUGAGUGAUGAAGGUCUUCGGAUCGUAAAGCUCUGUUAUUAGGGAAGAACAGAUGUGUAAGUAACUGUGCACAUCUUGACGGUACCUAAUCAGAAAGCCACGGCUAACUACGUG